GAAGCUGCGGCAGCGAACGUAUCACCCAAGACAACUUUACGGAGUUGACGAUUGACGGAGCGAAGCGACGUCAAAGCGUUCAUUAAAGUCGAGUUGGCUUAGGGAUACGUUCGUUGGGUAGGGGAGCGUUCUGUAAGCCUGUGAAGGUGUGUCGUGAGGCAUGCUGGAGGUAUCAGAAGUGCGAAUGCUGACAUAAGUAACGAUAAAGCGGGUGAAAAGCCCGCUCGCCGGAAGACCAAGGGUUCCUGUCCAACGUUAAUCGGGGCAGGGUGAGUCGACCCCUAAGGCGAGGCCGAAAGGCGUAGUCGAUGGGAAACGGGUUAAUAUUCCCGUACUUGGUGUUACUGCGAAGGGGGGACGGAGAAGGCUAUGUUGGCCGGGCGACGGUUGUCCCGGUUUAAGCGUGUAGGUGUGUGUUCCAGGUAAAUCCGGUUCACUUUAACACUGAGGCGUGACGACGAGGCACUACGGUGCUGAAGCAACAAAUGCCCUGCUUCCAGGAAAAGCCUCUAAGCAUCAGGUAACAUCAAAUCGUACCCCAAACCGACACAGGUGGUCAGGUAGAGAAUACCAAGGCGCUUGAGAGAACUCGGGUGAAGGAACUAGGCAAAAUGGUGCCGUAACUUCGGGAGAAGGCACGCUGACACGUAGGUGAAGUGAUUUACUCAUGGAGCUGAAGUCAGUCGAAGAUACCAGCUGGCUGCAACUGUUUAUUAAAAACACAGCACUGUGCAAACACGAAAGUGGACGUAUACGGUGUGACGCCUGCCCGGUGCCGGAAGGUUAAUUGAUGGGGUCAGCGCAAGCGAAGCUCCUGAUCGAAGCCCCGGUAAACGGCGGCCGUAACUAUAACGGUCCUAAGGUAGCGAAAUUCCUUGUCGGGUAAGUUCCGACCUGCACGAAUGGCGUAAUGAUGGCCAGGCUGUCUCCACCCGAGACUCAGUGAAAUUGAACUCGCUGUGAAGAUGCAGUGUACCCGCGGCAAGACGGAAAGACCCCGUGAACCUUUACUAUAGCUUGACACUGAACAUUGAGCCUUGAUGUGUAGGAUAGGUGGGAGGCUUUGAAGUGUGGACGCCAGUCUGCAUGGAGCCGACCUUGAAAUACCACCCUUUAAUGUUUGAUGUUCUAACGUGGACCCGUAAUCCGGGUUGCGGACAGUGUCUGGUGGGUAGUUUGACUGGGGCGGUCUCCUCCUAAAGAGUAACGGAGGAGCACGAAGGUUGGCUAAUCCUGGUCGGACAUCAGGAGGUUAGUGCAAUGGCAUAAGCCAGCUUGACUGCGAGCGUGACGGCGCGAGCAGGUGCGAAAG
rnacentral:rRNA from 1 species